AAGAGAGAUGGAGGAAGGGGCAGAGAGAGACGGAGAGAGAGAAUCUUAAGCAGGCUCCCAGCCCAGUGCAGAGCCUGAUGCAGGGUUUGAUCCUGUAGUCCUGAGAUAAUAACCCUAUCUGAAAUUAAGAGUUGGACACCCAACUGACUGAGCCCCAGGCACCCUAAGUUUCUGACUUUUAGUGAAUGUUUAAACUGGUGGUAGGUGGAAUAAUGGCCCCCAAGAGAUGUUCAUGUCCUAAUCCCUGGAACAUAUGAAUAUGUUACUUUAUAUGAUGUAAGAUAAUUAAGUUUUCAGGUGGAAUUAAGAUUGUUUAUCAGCUGUCUUAAAAUGGGUAUAUCUUGGAAUGCCAUGUGUGUCCAGUGUAAGUCCUUAAUAUCUGAGAACUUUUCCCAGCAGAAAUCAGGUUGAUUUGAAGACAGGAGGAGAGGCAGGAGAAAUUCAAAAUUUGAGAGUCUUUGAUCUUCUAUUGCCGGCUUUGGAAAUGGGGGAAGGCAACCAUGAGCUAAGGCAUUCAGUGUUUGGGAGGUCCCCAAGACACACUUACUUCUGACACCAACUGCAAGUUUAGGUGUCUACAAGAUUGCCCUCAGAUUCAAAAAUUCAGUAGAAGAAUUCACAGAAUGAAGCAAAACUCUUAUACUCACAGUUACAGUUUAUUAUAGUGAAAAGAAACAGAUUAAAAUAAACCAAGACAAGAAGUUCAUGAGGCAGGAUAUAAGAGACGAACUACAGAGUUUUCAUUGGGGGUUGGUCCUCUAGAUGUGGUUGACCACUUGUGUGACUGACCAUAGCCUGUAGCCCUUUCAGAGGUCAAGGUGGUGUCACAUGGCCCUAAGUUCUG
rnacentral:lncRNA from 1 species